rnacentral:rRNA from 1 species
UUAAGCGACUAAGCGUACACGGUGGAUGCCCUGGCAGUCAGAGGCGAUGAAGGACGUGCUAAUCUGCGAAAAGCGUCGGUAAGGUGAUAUGAACCGUUACAGCCGGCGAUGUCCGAAUGGGGAAACCCAGUGCAAUUCGUUGCACUAUCGUUAACUGAAUACAUAGGUUAACGAGGCGAACCGGGGGAACUGAAACAUCUAAGUACCCCGAGGAAAAGAAAUCAACCGAGAUUCCCCCAGUAGCGGCGAGCGAACGGGGAGCAGCCCAGAGUCUGAAUCAGCUUGUGUGUUAGUGGAACGGUCUGGAAAGUCCGACGGUACAGGGUGAUAGUCCCGUACACCAAAAUGCACAGGCUGUGAACUCGAAGAGUAGGGCGGGACACGUGGUAUCCUGUCUGAAUAUGGGGGGACCAUCCUCCAAGGCUAAAUACUCCUGACUGACCGAUAGUGAACCAGUACCGUGAGGGAAAGGCGAAAAGAACCCCGGCGAGGGGAGUGAAAAAGAACCUGAAACCGUGUACGUACAAGCAGUGGGAGCACCUUCGGGUGUGACUGCGUACCUUUUGUAUAAUGGGUCAGCGACUUAUAUUCUGUAGCAAGGUUAACCGUAUAGGGGAGCCGCAGGGAAACCGAGUCUUAACUGGGCGUUAAGUUGCAGGGUAUAGACCCGAAACCCGGUGAUCUAGCCAUGGGCAGGUUGAAGGUUGGGUAACACUAACUGGAGGACCGAACCGACUAAUGUUGAAAAAUUAGCGGAUGACUUGUGGCUGGGGGUGAAAGGCCAAUCAAACCGGGAGAUAGCUGGUUCUCCCCGAAAGCUAUUUAGGUAGCGCCUCGUGAAUUCAUCUUCGGGGGUAGAGCACUGUUUCGGCUAGGGGGUCAUCCCGACUUACCAACCCGAUGCAAACUACGAAUACCGAAGAAUGUUAUCACGGGAGACACACGGCGGGUGCUAACGUCCGUCGUGAAGAGGGAAACAACCCAGACCGCCAGCUAAGGUCCCAAAGUCAUGGUUAAGUGGGAAACGAUGUGGGAAGGCACAGACAGCCAGGAUGUUGGCUUAGAAGCAGCCAUCAUUUAAAGAAAGCGUAAUAGCUCACUGGUCGAGUCGGCCUGCGCGGAAGAUGUAACGGGGCUAAACCAUGCACCGAAGCUGCGGCAGCGACACUAUGUGUUGUUGGGUAGGGGAGCGUUCUGUAAGCCUGCGAAGGUGUGCUGUGAGGCAUGCUGGAGGUAUCAGAAGUGCGAAUGCUGACAUAAGUAACGAUAAAGCGGGUGAAAAGCCCGCUCGCCGGAAGACCAAGGGUUCCUGUCCAACGUUAAUCGGGGCAGGGUGAGUCGACCCCUAAGGCGAGGCCGAAAGGCGUAGUCGAUGGGAAACAGGUUAAUAUUCCUGUACUUGGUGUUACUGCGAAGGGGGGACGGAGAAGGCUAUGUUAGCCGGGCGACGGUUGUCCCGGUUUAAGCAUGUAGGCUGAUUGUCCAGGCAAAUCCGGAUAAUCAAGGCUGAGGUGUGAUGACGAGGCACUACGGUGCUGAAGUAACAAAUGCCCUGCUUCCAGGAAAAGCCUCUAAGCAUCAGGUAACAUUAAAUCGUACCCCAAACCGACACAGGUGGUCAGGUAGAGAAUACCAAGGCGCUUGAGAGAACUCGGGUGAAGGAACUAGGCAAAAUGGUGCCGUAACUUCGGGAGAAGGCACGCUGGUGUGUAGGUGAAGUCCCUGCGGAUGGAGCUGAGACCAGUCGAAGAUACCAGCUGGCUGCAACUGUUUAUUAAAAACACAGCACUGUGCAAACACGAAAGUGGACGUAUACGGUGUGACGCCUGCCCGGUGCCGGAAGGUUAAUUGAUGGGGUUAUCCGUAAGGAGAAGCUCUUGAUCGAAGCCCCGGUAAACGGCGGCCGUAACUAUAACGGUCCUAAGGUAGCGAAAUUCCUUGUCGGGUAAGUUCCGACCUGCACGAAUGGCGUAAUGAUGGCCAGGCUGUCUCCACCCGAGACUCAGUGAAAUUGAACUCGCUGUGAAGAUGCAGUGUACCCGCGGCAAGACGGAAAGACCCCGUGAACCUUUACUAUAGCUUGACACUGAACAUUGAGCCUUGAUGUGUAGGAUAGGUGGGAGGCUUUGAAGCGUGGACGCCAGUCUGCGUGGAGCCAACCUUGAAAUACCACCCUUUAAUGUUUGAUGUUCUAACGUUGGCCCCUUACCGGGGUUGCGGACAGUGUCUGGUGGGUAGUUUGACUGGGGCGGUCUCCUCCCAAAGCGUAACGGAGGAGCACGAAGGUUAGCUAAUCCUGGUCGGACAUCAGGAGGUUAGUGCAAUGGCAUAAGCUAGCUUGACUGCGAGCGUGACGGCGCGAGCAGGUGCGAAAGCAGGUCAUAGUGAUCCGGUGGUUCUGAAUGGAAGGGCCAUCGCUCAACGGAUAAAAGGUACUCCGGGGAUAACAGGCUGAUACCGCCCAAGAGUUCAUAUCGACGGCGGUGUUUGGCACCUCGAUGUCGGCUCAUCACAUCCUGGGGCUGAAGUAGGUCCCAAGGGUAUGGCUGUUCGCCAUUUAAAGUGGUACGCGAGCUGGGUUUAGAACGUCGUGAGACAGUUCGGUCCCUAUCUGCCGUGGGCGCUGGAGAAUUGAGGGGGGCUGCUCCUAGUACGAGAGGACCGGAGUGGACGCAUCACUGGUGUUCGGGUUGUCAUGCCAAUGGCACUGCCCGGUAGCUAAAUGCGGAAGAGAUAAGUGCUGAAAGCAUCUAAGCACGAAACUUGCCCCGAGAUGAGUUCUCCCUGAGACUUUAAGUCUCCUGAAGGAACGUUGAAGACGACGACGUUGAUAGGCCGGGUGUGUAAGCGCAGCGAUGCGUUGAGCUAACCGGUACUAAUGAACCGUGAGGCUUAACCUU